rnacentral:rRNA from 1 species
CCCUUAGAUGUUCUCGGCUGCACACGUGCUACACUGGCAGGUUCAGCGAGCUUCAUGCCCUGAUCUGAAAGGAAUGGGAAAUCUUUUCAAAACCUGCCGUGCUUGGGAUAGAUGUUUGCAAUUAUUCAUCUUCAACGAGGAUUGCCUUGUAAGCGCACGUCAUCAGCGUGCAUUGAAUACGACCCUGUAUUCUGUACACACCGCCCGUCGCUCCUACCGAUUGAAGUUUUCGGUGAGUUGACAGGAGGAUUUUUUUGAAACUGGUUCGCCAGUGGAUUUUAGAUCCAAAUGCCAACGAAUCGAUGGCUUUAGAGGAAGGAGAAGUCGUAACA